GUAUUUGAUUGUUUUUUGACUUAUGUGAUAAAUGCUCCUUCUUUGAAACACCUGGAUAUUGUUGGGCUAACAGAAGAUGACUCUUGUCUGAUUGAGAAUACACCUGAGCUGGUGGAGGCAAAUAUUACUGAUGUGUCUAGUGUUAUCUAUGAGAAAAUUCUUGGAUCUCUCACUUCAGUAAAAAAAGCCUUUCUUUGGAGAUUGCAUCACCCUUGGACCUGGCCAAGUUUCCCACUGAUAGAAUCUUCAACCAGCUGGUGUCUUUGGAGAUACAUACAGAUGAACCAGAGUGGUGGAAUCUAUUUACGCUCAUGCUCCAUAGUUCUCCUAAUUUGCAAGUCCUCAAGCUCAUUAAUAAAUGGUGUACGGAGCAAGAUCAACUCCUUGCUUGUAAGAGAUGGAGUCAACCGAGAUAUGUUCCUGAAUGUUUGGUGAACCGUCUCGAGACAUUAGUUUGGAAAAAUUACAAAGGGGAAAUAGAAGAUGAGAAAGAGGUGGCCCAAUACAUCCUAAGGAAUGCAAGUCUUUUGAAAACAGCAACUUUCUCCAGAAGAGAUAUUCAUCCAGACAAGAAUCUCGAGAUGUUCAAGGAAUUGGCGAGUGUGGUCAGGGCUUCGAACUCAUGCCAGCUUGUGUUCAAAUAAACUGUGAUAUCACAUGGAAGUCCUACAAGCUUAUUAUAUUACUCGGCUUAUAAAGAGUUUGUAUUGGUUUUCAUAUGUUGACUUAUAGUAUGGCUAACCGUUUUAGAAUUAUGAACUUGGUAAGUACGGUUAAGGUGAUACAAUUUUUUGUUUGUGAUUUGUUUUUUUUUAAUCUAGCCGUAGAUUGUUGUAUUUGGAAUGAUUGAUGAAUGGCAGAACAUAUAUUAUGUAUAAUAGUUAUGGUAAAAGAAAAA